rnacentral:rRNA from 1 species
UACGAAGGGGCUAGCGUUGCUCGGAAUCACUGGGCGUAAAGCGCACGUAGGCGGCUUUCUAAGUCGGGGGUGAAAUCCUGGAGCUCAACUCCAGAACUGCCUUCGAUACUGGAGAGCUCGAGUCCGGGAGAGGUGAGUGGAACUGCGGAGUGUAGAGGUGAAAUUCGGUAGAUAUUCGCAAGAACACCAGUGGCGAAGGCGGACUGCACUGGACC